UACGUAGGGGGCAAGCGUUGUCCGGAAUCAUUGGGCGUAAAGAGCGUGUAGGCGGCCGUACAGGUCAGCUGUGAAAACUCGAGGCUCAACCUCGAGCUGUCGGCGGAAACCAUCUGGCUAGAGUCCGGAAGAGGAGAGUGGAAUUCCUGGUGUAGCGGUGAAAUGCGCAGAUAUCAGGAGGAACACCAAUGGCGAAGGCAGCUCGCUGGGACGGUACUGACGCUGAGGCGCGAAAGCGUGGGGAGCAAACAGG
rnacentral:rRNA from 1 species